rnacentral:rRNA from 1 species
GACGAACGCUGGCGGCGUGCUUAACACAUGCAAGUCGAGCGGAAAGGCCCUGCUUUUGUGGGGUGCUCGAUUGCCGAACGGGUGAGUGACACGUGAGUAACCUGCCCUUGACUUUGGGAUAACUUCAGGAGACUGGGGCUAUUACCGGGUAGGAUCUUCUGCUGCAUGUGGGUGGUUGGAAAGUGUCGGCGGUAGGGGAUGUUCUGGCAGCUUAUCAGCUUGUUUGUGGGGUAGUUGCUUACCAAGGCUUUGACGGGUAGCCGGCAUGAGAGGGUGACCGGCCACAUUGGGACUGAGAGACGGAGCAGAAUCGUACGGGAGGCAGUAGUCGGAAAUAUUGCACAAUGGGCGGACGUCUGAGACAGCAGCGCCGCGUGCGUGAUGAUGGCCUACGGGUUGAAAACCGAUUUGGCAGGUGAUGAAGCGUGAGUGACGGUAAUGAGUAAAGAAGCAACGGCUAACUACGUG